UGAGGGCCAGUUGUCGAUGGGUUCGCCCAAGUGAGGUUUUGGUAUUUGUUGUUUUGAUUUGUUCCAGAGCUUCGCCGUGCGCAUGGAAAAAGCUGGGUUUUAGAGUCACUGGUAUCGAUUUUCGGGGAGAUUCCAUCGGAUUUGGCGGCUUGGGUUCGCUUUUGCUGUCGAUCGCUGAAAAGUUUGUAGUACUUGACCUCGAAUUCGUGCUAUUUUUUUAUUGUUCCCAAUUUUCACUGUGAAAUCCAUCGAUCUAGGGUUCGUUUUGUUCUUGUUUCGCCAUUGGCCUCCUCUGGGUUGUGACAUGCUUUGAGCUGAACGAACUAAAUGUCGUUUUUCUUUUGGAUUUUGAUUCUCGUGGGGUUCUUCUCUUUUGUUACGUUUGUGAGCCUUUAAUUAUAGGCUUGGGAAUUUGGCCGUUCAGUUGCUAAAUUGCUUAAGGUUUUUAUUCUGUUCGAGAUGCUGUACGUAAGGGCUUCUGGGAAGUGAAAGGUAAUUUAGCCACUCCUAAUGUUUGAUUAGUAGGGUCUGCUGCCUUUUGGAUAAAAGGGUUACAAAAAGCCUCCUUUUUGCUGCUAUAUCGGUGUAGAAUUCGGGUCUUUUGUUGGAUUUUCUGGGCUGUCAGCUUUCUCCGACAAGAAGACUCCUCUUCCCGUUCUUUAUUCUCCAUUGUUGUAAUUUGGGGGUUUGGAGUGACCAACCGUCUUCUCAGAUGCUUGAUCCGUGAUAUUGUGAAUUGGGGUUUACCUUUUUGUCAAGAUGAACCUGGAAAGUGACAACUUUACCAGGUGUGGGAGACAUCCAACUCAAUUUUUCACUGGUUUCUGUUCUUCUUGCUUGGUUGAGAGGUUAUCAAAUGUUGGCGCAGCCGAAGAGAGCCUGGAGGCACCUUGCAGCACACAGAGUGAAAUAGUUGAGGUCCUCGAUGUAAUUCCGGAUGUUAAGAAGAAGUCUGGUGAGAUCAGAGUAAGAAGGACUCUUCAAUACUUGUUUCAACUGGAUGAUGGUUUCAGUGUUGACAGCAACAAAGAUGUUGCAACAGACGAUCAUGUGCCGUCGGCCUCAAGUGCAAUUGAAUGUGAAAUUAGUUCCUGUGGUGAAAACCAUUUCAAGGGUGAUAACAGCAAACUCAGCUCCUGUAAAGGAACUAAGGUGAUGGAAACUAAUGCUAAUACUGCUGAGGAGAUUAAGAUCAGUGCUCAUAUUGCCAAAGAGAUCAAUAACAUUGAAGACAAGAAGUUGAAGGACCAAGAUACGACAUUUUGGUUGAGUUCGUUGUUGGCGAAGAAAAGAUUUAUAUGGAGGACGAGGAGCAUUUCAAAGAAGGACAAACUGCAGGACGAUAAGUUGAGUAAUGCAUCUGAUGAUAUACAGUUGGAAAGCCCUCCUAAAUCACGAUAUUCUUGUGACUGGAGGGCAUGCCAUGAUUUAAACAAGAGUUCCUGGGAUCCUCCUAGACAUUCAUGGGAUGGUUCGAUGGUUAGCAGAGCGCUAGCAUGCUCAUUUGCCUGCCUUGAAGAACGAGAAAAUGAUCUAAGGACCAAAGGAAACUGUCCUGGUGAAAAAAUGUCCGAAAAUCCUGUUCAGGCUACAGAUGACAUUGACAGAGGCAAAGUUACUAAUGUGCCCAUGUCUGGUGAGAAACCUAUUUCAUCUGAUGGCAGCUUAGAGACACUUUUUGUAGAAAGGCUUUAUGAAGAGUCUCAACCAGGUAAAUCUGUGGCAAGAAUCAGAGGAAAAAAGUCACGUGGAUGGAGUAAGGUGUGGGACUGGAGUAUAACUAGCUCUUUCAAAGACUUCGUGAAAAAACAUGAUCACAGUCUGCAGAGAUCUGCAUCAGAGACUUGGCAAGGACGCAAGAAUAACAGUGUGGAAAGCAUGGAAAUUGAUGGUGCAUUACAAUUCAAUGGUAAUCGUCAUGGUUCUAUUGAAGGAAAUCAUUAUCUACACCGAGGUAUUAAUUUUGCUAAUGGUGAUUUGAGGAACCUGAAGCCUGAAUGGCAAAUGAGAAGUCAAUUCAAGUUUGGUCGAAGCCGAAGCGUUCAUUAUUCCUCCCCAGGGAACUUAGAUAAUGGACUUCUGCGCUUCUAUCUGACCCCUUUGAGAAGCAGCAGAAGAUGUACAAGUAGGGGUAGGACAAAAAGCUCGCACCAUAUUGGAAAAGGUGUUUUUGGGUUAUAUUAAGUGUCAUAUUACUGUCUCAAGUGUAUACUGUUUCGAGUUUGCAGUGAUGGCUUUAGACUUAAAGAUGUUAGCAAAUCACAGCUUUAGUCUUGCAGAUGGUUUUGCACCACAUUUUAUUUGUCUGGAUGGUAACCUGCUUAGAAGUGUUGUAUGGCAAUGAGUGUUUUUUACAACUUUCGAGAUGGAGAAUGCAUUGGUGUUUGCAUAACUUGAUUGCAGCUUCACUGAGAAAGUGCAGUUAUACUAUCUCCCUUAUUUUUAGUUAAUACACAUUGGAUGAGCAGAAUGUUGACAGUACAUAAUUGUAGUCAUUAAUUUAUUGUUAAUAAAGGUGAGAUUGAUGUCAAACUUUACUAUUUGGUGCUUCAAGAAGAUGUGCAGUGUUGAUUCUGAUUGAUUGGUCAAACAGCAUUAUCUCCAGUCAAGCAACAAGCCAAAUAAGAUACAAAUCAGAUAUGACUUGUCUAUCUUUAUGCUUUUAUGAUGUUUUGAUACAGUUGAGAAUUUCCCUUUCCAUGUGGAAUUUGAUUAGGAUGCAUUUUCAGCUUAACAUUUUUUCUAUAACUUUUAUUAUUAAAUUGAGCAAAGAAAGGCUGUUGUAUAAUCGUCUCUAAGUUCAGAAGGAAGCUAAAACACAAUUUCACUUAUGUCCUGUUGAACAAUUAGAUUAUUCUUAUUUGAAUGCAAUUUACACAUAUAUAACACCGUCCUAUUGAUUCCUGAGAGUAAGAAGUAAUCUUAAUUUUAGGCUCUGUUUGGUAUAUCAUGAUUAGAAAUCCUGGGAUUUCUCCAGAAGUUCAAAUUAAGGAUCAAGUUCUAAAGGAAAUUCUUACUUUUUGUUUGACUAUUUGGCUGGGGGAAUUUAUGCACGAUUUUUGCUUAUCUUCGAAUCUUCAUCAUCCUUAGCCCCUGAAUUUCCUAUUUUACAGGUACUAAAUCCCCAUGUUUUAGGAAGCUAAUUUCUUAGCUUCCCAGUUCCAGAUGGGAAAUAAGUGGGUGUUUGGAUGAUAUCUUGAGAUUAUUGGAGAAAUCUCCAUACCAGUUUUUUUCUUCCUUGUUUUUAAACUUUUCUUUUGUGCUGGCUCCCCCGGAGCUAAAUCAUGAUUUGUUGUGCAUUAUACAAUGGUGUACAGUUUACUGUGUUUCCUUUACAUAUGAGUGGUACAGCACUUGGCAAUCUCCUGAAGCUCUUUCAGUAACAAAGAUAGCCAUUGAUUGAACAUCAUUGCUUGGUGCUAAUUCUACCAUGGUGUCCUGUUAAAUGGGCUUUAUAAUGUUUAGUAGUUCUUACUCCCUGGUAACCUGAAAUGGAUGUUGUUAUAUCAUUCAGCUGUUCUUUCUGUGGUCCAGUUUGUCAAAAUGCUACUCAUUAGAGUUUAAAGUGAUUUUGGUUUUUAACAAAAUUAUUUCCAUCUACUUGUCCUUUAAAAGGGAUCUCAAACUAAAAAGUAGGUCAUCAUUACAGCCAUUGUUGGAAUGGAUGAGGUAUGUUGGCAAUCUGAUGUAUAUGGUGGUCGUUGCAGUUAAUGUGCUUGGAUAUAGAUAGUGAUCUCUAGCAAUAUUGAGGAUGCAUCUUGCAUGCCUAUAUUUUUCUCUAGCUGGAAUUUUCAAUGUUUUUUAUUUAAGAUAUUGUCUUAUACAAAGUUCAAUGUUGCAAAUUAUUGUGAAGUGCUUUUAAUUUUUUUCUAGCAAUAUUUAAUUUUUUUGGACAGGCUUCGUGUGACUUAGUAUGAUUUCUGAGACUUCAGUAAUUUGUGAUACUUGGCAGAUUGUCAUGACCAACCAACAAGGUCUGGUUAAUCUUUUCCAGAGCAUCCAUGCUUCAAAAGCUUAUGGCAACAGGAGUAUUGCAGAGUGAGCUUCUUUAACUUGGCAUGCAGAAGUAGCAGCUUUGGUGACGAUGAUGAUGUUGUCGAGACUAUAAACAAAAAAGGGAAUGAUGCUCGAAGGAGAUGGAAGCAACAGGGACAAGUUCAUGGUGUUUUCUUUAAGUGUAUGACCAAUAUAAUUAUUCUAUUAUUCAUCUGAAUUCUAUUCUUAUUUUUAUAUUUAAGGGGAUCUCAUCUUGACAAAGAAGGAAUGGGGCAUAUUUCAAUUA